rnacentral:misc_RNA from 1 species
ACAAACUUGGUCAUUUAGAGGAAGUAAAAGUCGUAACAAGGUUUCCGUAGGUGAACCUGCGGAAGGAUCAUUAUUGAAUUUUUAAAUCCAACUUUUGCUUGUGCAUUAGCUUGCACGCCUCGGUUGGCUCUUUAAAUUUUUCCACACACCUGUGCACUUCGGGCGUGUCGCGGAGCGUUUGUCGCUCGCGGCGAUGCGUCUCGUUUUUUUACACCUUUUUUGUAUGUCUAUUUGAAUGUAAAUUUCGGUUACUCUGUAGUGGGGUAGUCGUAUUUAAAAAGAAAUACAACUUUCAGCAACGGAUCUCUUGGCUCUCCCAUCGAUGAAGAACGCAGC